rnacentral:rRNA from 1 species
AACGAACGCUGGCGGCAUGCCUAACACAUGCAAGUCGAACGAGACCUUCGGGUCUAGUGGCGCACGGGUGCGUAACGCGUGGGAACCUGCCUUUAGGUUCGGAAUAACUCAGAGAAAUUUGAGCUAAUACCGGAUAAUGUCUUCGGACCAAAGAUUUAUCGCCUUUAGAUGGGCCCGCGUUGGAUUAGCUAGUUGGUGGGUAAAGGCCUACCAAGGCGACGAUCGGUAACUGGUCUGAGAGGAUGAUCAGUCACACUGGAACUGAGACACGGUCCAGACUCCUACGGGAGGCAGCAGUGGGGAAUAUUGGACAAUGGGGGCAACCCUGAUCCAGCCAUGCCGCGUGUGUGAAGAAGGCCUGGUGUAAG